rnacentral:lncRNA from 1 species
AAGGCCUUAAGAGGCACGGCAGUGUCCACCAAUACUCAGGGAGCUUACUCUCUCCAUGCAAAGAGCAGCCCCAGCAAUAAACAACACUUCCUGAGCAAUAACUGAGUCAAGAUGAAGAAUUAUGAGCAGAAAUCUUUGAAAACUCAUUUGAAAUGCUAACCCUUUGUGAUGCAUAAGGAAGUUACAGAGAAUUAAACAAGCAAUCACAGAAACCUCUGAAAGAAAGAAAAUCCUAGUUAGAAAGCAAGAUGUCUUAAUCCCAAUUAAACUGUCUUUUUGAAGUUCUCCUUGCCUUGAUAAAACAUUGUUAUUCACUUUAUAAAGUGUUUUAGUUAUAUUUAAUGUAACCCCUUUGUUUUCAAAGCUGUUUUCUUAACUUCUUCCUUACAAUAAAGAUAAAUUAUUUUUAUACUGCUCUUUGAUGAUCCAUCAGUGAUUGCUGAGGGAUUUAUAUAUAUAAAGUAGAGGUACUGA